GUGACCUUUAAGGAAGUACAGAGAUACUUGCAAGGUCGCAUAUAGGACUCGUGUAUACCUUGAUACACGUAUACCCCUUUGCGACCUUCGCAAAGGGGUUUUUUCAU
rfam:Gracilibacillus halophilus YIM-C55.5 contig_4, whole genome shotgun sequence.